rnacentral:rRNA from 1 species
GACGAACGCUGGCGGCGUGCUUAACACAUGCAAGUCGAACGGAAAGGCCCUGCUUUUGUUGCUUGCUCGAGUGCCGAACAGGUGAGUAACACGUGAGUAACCUGCACCUAACUUACGGAUAACUUCAGGAAACACUGGCUAAUACCCCAUAUGAGCUACUGCUGCAUGGGGGUGGAUGGAAAGUGCCGGCGGUUUGGGAUGGUCUCGCAGCUUAUCAGCUUGUUGGUGGGGUUGUGACUUACCAAGGCUUUGACGGAUAGCCGGCCUGAGAGGCUGACCGGGGACAUUGGGACUGGGAUAGGGCCCAGACUCGAAUGUGCGGCAACGGUGGGGAAUAUUGCAGAAUGGGCGGAGGCCAGUUGAAGAAGCGCUCGGUGCGUGAUGCCGUCUUAUGGGUUGAAAACAGAUUUGGAAUGUGCCGAAGAGUGCGUGACGGUACUGGGUAAAGAAGCACCGGCUAACUACGUG